UGGUUUGUUUUCGACUAUUUUGGAUCUUAUCGUCUUUAAUGCAUGAUUAAAUUGAUUACAAAAUAAUGAAAGGCUGUUAUCGAUAAACUAUAUCGGCCAAAGAAACCUCGAGGCUAUGGAUAUUUUUGUUUAGAAAAACUGCAAAGUACAUUUUUUGUGAAAGACGAUAUAAAAUGUUAACUUUAUUAAAUAGAAGACUGGGAUUUUGCAUAAGAUACAACUUUGUUAGGAACUAUGUUUUACCGGCGAGUACUGACAAUACUGUUGACCCAAAGGUUAUGUACGAAUUAAAGAAACAUUUAAGGAAUCAACGGCUGCUUUUUAAAGAUGGUCCAACAUGCCUUCUUAUGGAAUGUCAUUUUUGUAACAACAUUUCUGGAGGUGAAGCAUUUGUCUCUUCCUGUGUCCAAACUGUGAUCUCAAGAAAAAUGUGGUAGACAUUAUUCAUUUAUACGAGAAAAAUUGCAGAGGUGAUGCGAAGUGCAGAGAUGUGGAAUAUAAAAGUAAAUUUACGGACUUACAAUCAGUUUCACAAAGUGUUUGUGACAAGCUUGGAAUAAGAGGACUUCAGUCUGCAGACUUGGAGCACUUGGGGGCACAAUAUGAACCUAAUUCAAAUUGUUUACGUUUCCCCUUAAAAAAUGUGGCAAAUAAAGUAGUUGGUGAGAAAAUUCUUCACUUGUCCGAUAGGAGAGACGAAACAAUAGGAAAUUAUAACCAAUCUGGUUUGUUACUGUCUAAUGCUCCACAAAAAUCUUUGCGAGUGGUUUUAGUAUCUAAUCUUAUGGACUUCAUCGUUUUAUCGAUCCAGCGUUUGAGUAACAGUAGCAUCAGUUGCAUGUUUGCCCUACGGCCUGAAAUCUCUUCCUCAGGAAUGCCUUCCAUGCCUUGAAAAGUUUAAAGAAAUAGUUUUUUGGUUUAAUUUCGAAACAACGGAUUGGGAUGUCGCAAAGAAUUUUGCCAAGAAACUAGAAGAAAAUCGUUGUUUUUUUAUUCGACCUACUGGCACGGAACCUGCUCCAUUUGAAGCUUAUAAAAAACGGUUUAAUUUACAGCAUAUUCUGAACAAAGCCACUCCAAUGUGCCACAAAUCUAUAACUACGUUUAGCGCCCUCAAAAAUGAUAUUCUUAGUGAGCUGCAAAACAUAGAAAAAGUCAAUGGAGUAAAAUGGAAACGAUAUCCCAUAUUGAAUAAAAUUCUUAAAGGACAUAGAAAGGGUGAAUUAACAAUCUUAACUGGCCCUACUGGCAGUGGAAAAACUACCUUUAUGAGUGAAUACUCGUUGGACUUGGCUUUACAAGGAGUUUCUACUUUAUGGGGAUCUUUUGAAAUUCGCAACUGUCGUCUAGCAGCGACAUUACUACGUCAGUAUGUUGGUUAUUCGCUGGAGGAUAAACUUAACGAGUUUGAAUAUUGGACUAGUCAAUUUGAAAGAUAUCCCUUAUAUUUUAUGACUUUUCAUGGACAACAACCGCUUAAAUUAGUAAUGGAGGCCAUCGAACAUGCCCAGUAUAUUCAUGACAUUAGCCAUGUUAUUAUAGAUAAUCUCCAAUUUAUGAUGGGCAUGUCAAUCGCACAGAAAAGCGAUAAAUUUUGGGAACAAGAUUCGAUUAUAUCUGCAUUCCGUUCCUUUGCAACGAAAAAUAAUGUUCAUGUGACAUUAGUUAUGCAUCCACGUAAGGAACGUGCAGACGAAGACCUUACCACAAGUUCGGUGUUUGGAACAGCUAAAGCUACACAAGAAGCAGACAACGUACUGAUUAUCCAAGAUAAGCGUUUAACAUCUCUUAGAGGAAAAAAAUAUUUGCAAAUUGUAAAAAAUCGAUAUAGUGGGGACUUGGGAAUUAUGCCUCUGGAAUUCGAUAAAGAAUCCCUGAGCUAUUCUACGUCAAAUAAAAAGAAGAAAACAAGUAGUUCUUAAAUAAGUUUUAGUUAUAAAAAUUAUGUUAAGCUCUAAAUGUACAUAUGUUGUAAAUAUUGAAGUUUGUAAUAUAUAAAGUUGUUCUAAGUGGAA
rnacentral:misc_RNA from 1 species